rnacentral:rRNA from 1 species
UGGGGAAUAUUGCACAAUGGGCGCAAGCCUGAUGCAGCCAUGCCGCGUGUGUGAAGAAGGCCUUCGGGUUGUAAAGCACUUUCAGCGAGGAGGAAGGGUAGUGUGUUAAUAGCACAUUGCAUUGACGUUACUCGCAGAAGAAGCACCGGCUAACUCCGUGCCAGCAGCCGCGGUAAUACGGAGGGUGCAAGCGUUAAUCGGAAUUACUGGGCGUAAAGCGCACGCAGGCGGUUUGUUAAGUCAGAUGUGAAAUCCCCGCGCUUAACGUGGGAACUGCAUUUGAAACUGGCAAGCUAGAGUCUUGUAGAGGGGGGUAGAAUUCUAGGUGUAGCGGUGAAAUGCGUAGAGAUCUGGAGGAAUACCGGUGGCGAAGGCGGCCCCCCUGGACAAAGACUGACGCUCAGGUGCGAAAGCGUGGGGAGCAAAACAGGAUUAGAUACCCUGGUAGUCCACGCUGUAAACGAUGUCGACUUGGAGGUUGUGCCCUUGAGGCGUGGCUUCCGGAGCUAACGCGUUAAGUCGACCGCCUGGGGGAGUACGGCCGCAAGGUUAAAAC